rnacentral:sRNA from 1 species
AAGAUUUUCUCAGAUUUCAUCGAUGUGUACUGCUUGAAUGAAUGCCCUGUGAACAAAAAAUAAAUGGAGUCCUCAUCAUUUACUUUCUCCAGUGGUAGAUCACUUACAUUUUUACAAUGUGAUCUAUUUUGUGGACAAAAGAUGAACAUGCAUGCAUACAGUGAAAUUGUUUGUUCCCUUUGAUGCAGUCUCUCUACCUCUGUUGUUUGAUGAAGCUGUUAGUGAAUGUCUCUUGAUGUGUUUGCAUGAAAAGAAAUGUCAUCUCGUAUACAGCUAUUGACAAUAAAGAAUUCUGAAUGUC